rnacentral:rRNA from 1 species
GACGAACGCUGGCGGCGUGCCUAACACAUGCAAGUCGAACGAGAGAUGAGGAGCUUGCUCUUCAAAUCGAGUGGCGAACGGGUGAGUAACGCGUGAGGAACCUGCCUCAAAGAGGGGGACAACAGUUGGAAACGACUGCUAAUACCGCAUAAGCCCACAGCUCGGCAUCGAGCAGAGGGAAAAGGAGCAAUCCGCUUUGAGAUGGCCUCGCGUCCGAUUAGCUAGUUGGUGAGGUAACGGCCCACCAAGGCGACGAUCGGUAGCCGGGCUGAGAGGUUGAACGGCCACAUUGGGACUGAGACACGGCCCAGACUCCUACGGGAGGCAGCAGUGGGGAAUAUUGCACAAUGGGGGAAACCCUGAUGCAGCGACGCCGCGUGGAGGAAGAAGGUCUUCGGAUUGUAAACUCCUGUUGUUGAGGAAGAUAAUGACGGUACUCAACAAGGAAGUGACGGCU